ACAUCCUUAACUUUUUGCCAUAUAUAUUUUUUUUGCCAUUUCUCAACACAAACCCUUUCGGUGGGGAAUACCAGUUCAUCGAAUUCGCUUGUAUUCUAUCAAUUUUGGACAUCGGCCAUACGUGCUAAAGGUACACUUAUGUAAAAUUACCUGUUAUGUUGAAACCAAACGGAUUAUUUAAAGUUUAUGUUACAGUUAGACGACUGGCUGUAUAAAAUAUGAUAUAAAUCUCAGUAUUACGCAUUACAACAACCAAACAGGAAGUAUAAUUAUAUGGUUGAAAUUUCAAUUUAGGUGAUAACAAAUCUAAAAUAGCGUACUUUAAGGUAGAAAUGACUCAAUUUGUACAUACAAAUCAGGUUUGAAUCAUCGUAAAGUAGGGGAUAUGCAAUUUUGUUUCCGCAACACCGGAUGACUCAAAAUGUUCUCUGUGACUCUCAUACACUGUCGAAACUUAUGACGCGCGCGCGCGCGCGCGCACACACACACACACACACACGCACACUAGCACGCACACGCACACACUCAAACACACACAUAUACAUCAUUAUUUUAUUUUUUGUCAAUAUGUGUUCUUCAUGUAAAAACCCAUAAGUAAAUUCAUAAUGACGAAAAUUUCUACUUUAUUUUCCAAUUGUCACAAUAUUUUACGUUUUCACUAAAAGAGGUUUAUAUCAUUAUUCAGGUCCAAUAUCAGCACAUUCAAAAUAUUGCCCAUCAAUUAAACAGCAUCAGAUAUUAAACAAAUUUUGGGAUGAAUAAAACACCAAGGUACUUGACAAAAAAUUUGAUGUUAUAACAAACGCGGAAGCAUAGAGACGGAUUACGUACCUUACAUUUACCCUAUUUCUGAUUACUGUUUUAGAACGAAUGAUUUAAAAUCAGUAGAUUUCCUGAAAACUGCAUAAAAAUCGUUUCAUGUUAACAUGUGUGUAAAUCAAAAAAUGUUUGAAUUUGAUUUCUCAUUUUAAGAAAAUGCUUGAAUGUGCGCAGGUUCGUUUAUUUUGUAGAGAUUAACGACGCAUCGACAUAAUUAUAAGUCAUUGUGCGCAAAUGUUACUCUAAAAGAUUCAAAUGGCUUCAUAAUAUCAUCGUUUGUAAAUGAUAAAACAUUUAAAUAUAAAAGGAACCGGGAUAACUUCAUUCUACAGAAAGUGUUUACAUUCAGAUUAAUACAGGCAUUUGGGGUGGAAAGUAAGUUUUAAAUCCCCAAAAAUACUGUAUAAAUAAACCUAUAAAGCAUACAUUUCAACCAAGAAAAUAAUAGCAUCGGUUUGAAUGAGUAUGUUCCUUAAAGGUAAUGGAAAGUGCAACAACUCUCACGUCCCCUAUCACCGGUCUUAGCGGAAUUCUAUUACAUAGAUAUUGAAUGGACUCCAUGGCCUCAAAUGAACAGAAAAUAUAUCAACACUGAAUCCAGUUAGGGGAGACUUUCUGCGACCGCCGCACUGGACUUAAAGAUCGGUAGUUAAUAAAAUUUGGAAAGAUAGAAUGUAAACAAGUAAACUGAUAGCGGACUCGGUUUGAUUGAGUCUGUUCUCAGAGGUAAUGGAAAGUGCAACACUCCUCUCGCCGGCUUAAGCGAAACUCUAUUACAUAGAUACUCAAUAGACACCAUGAUCCCAAAGGACCAGAAAAUAUAAUAAAUUAAAGUAAGGGGAGACUUUUUACGACCGCCACACGGCACUUAAAAAUUUCUUUUGCGAUAGUUAAUAAAAUCUGUAAAAACAUAGAAUUCAGCCAACUUGAAGCAAAUAAAUAGCAGACUCUAUUUGACUGAGUCUGUUCAUGAGAGGUUAUGGAAAGUGCUCUCACGCCCCUUAGCACCAGCUUAAGGGAAAUUCUAUUACAUAGAUACUGAAUGGACUCCCUGGUCCCCAAAUCAUAUCGUAACGGGGCUCAAUAUUGUUGAAUUUUAAAAUAUGAUAUUAAGGAAAAUGUUACUCUGAAUGUACGAAUAUUAAGAAAAUGUACCUGAGUAAUAUGAAUAAUAUUGCUGCAAUAUCAAACAGCUGUUGAAAAUUCCAUUUAGUUUAUUUUUGUGCCCCCGCUUUACUUCAUACGUGUAGCUAUUAACUAAAUAUAUAGGUUUCCUAUUAUUUCUCUUCUGUUAAAUUCAUUGCUAUAUGUUACACUUUUAUGAUAUUUAUAUUUUCUUUUGGUGCGAACAAAUCAUUAUGUUAUUAGUCGCCUACUGGUUGAAACCUAGUUUCGCGGGCUAUAAGAAUGCGCUUCUCAGUCAUUCUGUCAUUCCGUUCAUCCGCAAUUUCGUGACCGGUCCAUAUCUCUUUCAUUCAUCAAGGAUUUUAAUAUUAUUUGGCACGUGUCAUGCGCAAAAUCCGUACCCUUAGUUUAAAGGUCAAGGUCACAAUUGGAGGUCAAAGGUCAACAGGGCUUGUUUUCUUAACCGGUCAAUAACUCUGCCAUCUAUGAAGGUAUUUUAAAUGUACCCCGUAGUAAGACAAUGUGCCAUGCACAACUUUCAGACCAGAGAAAUUUAAAGGUCAAGGUCAUACUUGGCAGGCAAAUGUUGGCAUGACAUGAAUAGGAUCUGUCUCGUGUCUGGUCGAUUCAUUCAUCGAGGGUUUUUUUUUAUAUUUCUAGGUACAAUUGUAUUCUAUGAUAAGACAACGUGUUAUGCUCAAAUUCCGGACCUCUAGCUCAAAGUUCAAGGUCAAAAAUGGAAGUCAAAGGUCAACAGGGCUUUUCUUCCUGUCGGGUCCUUAACUCUUCCAUCAAUGAAUUGAUUUUAAUAUUAAUUGACAUGAAUGUAUCCUAUAACAAUAGAUUUGUCAUGGACAGUAUAUGAUCUCUAGGUCAAAGGUCAAGGUCAAAUGAUAACAUGGCAUGAACAGGGUCUAUUUCGUGUCUGUGUCAUUCAUCAGGGGAUUACAAUAUUACUUGGCAUAAAUGUUCCCAAUGAAAAGACGAUGUUUCAUACGCAACAUCCAGAACCUUAGCUUAAAGAACCCUUAGCUGAGAGGCGAAUGCCACACUUGAAAGUCGAAGGCCCAAAGGGCUUUAUUUCCUGUCUGUAACUCAAGAAGUUUUGAAGGUAUUUAAAGAUAUAAGAAGAUGUGUCAUGCGCAACAAGUAGAUACCUAACUCAGAGGUCAAGGUCACUGACAGAGGUCGAAGGUAUUUUUGAAGAUUUCUUUUCUUUUUUGGUCCAUAACUCAAUCAUAAAAUAAGGGAUUACAUUAUAACUUGAUACAAGUUUUCCCCAUAAUAAGGUGAUGUGUCAUGUGCAAAACCUAGAUCCCUAGUGCGUAGGUCAAGGUCACACCGGUUCAGUGUGUAAAAUAGUUUAUAUUAGCUCAUGCGUAAUAUGGACCAAAAGUAUUCUGGUGUAUUUUCGUCAAUAAUAUUUCUGAAUUAUGAUGAUUUCUUACAUUUUUUCUUAUAUGUUCCCACCAAUUUCAAUAUUGAAAUAAAAUAAUACUUCUUAUAGGGAAUCGAUCCUACCGAAAAUCGGGAUCGAAUCCCACUACGGUAACAUACGAGGGUAUCCAAACAACACAUACUAUCCAAAUAAAAAAAUAUGGAGUUCCGGUUUAGACCAUGGGCGUGCGACGACCCCGAUGAAAUUCGGGAUAUCACGGUCUUCGUUAAUGUUAAUAAGCGUCCGUCAGAUCAGUAGGCGAAACGCAAUAUCCGCAAAAUAAAAUGUCUGCGACCCGAAAGAAUAUUCAAAGUAAGCUGUUAAUUUUGUUGCGUCAGAAGCUAAUCAGCCGGUAACGUGACUACACUGAUAUAAUUUGUGAUACAAACAUGCUUUAUUCAAUACUGAGUAGCAUUUUUAAACGGCGACAUUUUGAAUAUUUCUAUAUUUAGAGUGAGAGUGGAUACAGUUUCACUGGCGCCGACAUUUUGAAAAUUUGAGAAAACAAAAACAUUCUCCAACAGCUCGGGGAAUGAGAGAAUAGAUUCACCUUUGUGUCGCUUUUCAGAUCGUAUUUUAAUUCCUUUCCGGUACUUUAGUUUCUUUGAACUUCUCUGUUACUCACUAAGCAUUACAGUAUUGAAUUUUUAAAAUUAAGAAAUCCGUGAUUUUACUUGCAGGCAUGACUGACAAAUGGAAUUAUUUUACUUUUAUAUAGAAUAUGGACGGCACUCCAGUACAGCAUGUGCAUGGUUAGACCUGUUGACAUUUUUAGAAACGCAUCUUGGUCUAUUAUACAGAGUAUUGUUGUACUGCUCCAAGUGCUUGUUGACAGACUGAAACCACUUGCUUGCAGCUCAUAAGGUUUACUUCUUGAGAGCAGGCAGCUACAAAAUGGAAGGUCAACAAAUCCAGUAUACUUGAAAAGCAAGAAAGAAACACCAGAAAAUAUGAAAAGACAGAAAUACAAGGGAACUUGAAUAAAAAAAAACUUUUAAGGAUAGGAAUUCAGGAUUUACUUGGAAACUAAAUUUAUUUUGAGAGUAGCAGUGAUUGACUAAGCUCUGUUACUUUAAGAGAUAAUGUAUUAUCACAUUGGUUUGUUAUUGUCGAGCCCGCUUGCGGAAGCGAAGACAUAGUUGUCCAAAUGUCUGUUCGGUGUAUGUGCGUGCGUGCGUCCUUCCGGAUUUGUUUGUCCAGACCAUAACUUGAACAUGCAUGGAGCAAUCUUGUUUAAUUUGGUAUGAAUGUUAACCUCAGUGAGACGGAGUGUCAUGCACAAACCCCAGGUUCCUAUCUCAAAGGCCAAGGUCACACUUACAGGUCAAAGGUCAAAUUCAAAAAUGACUGUCUGGAGCAUUUCUUCUUCAUGCAUGGAGGGAUUUUGAUGUAACUUGGCACAAUUGUUCAACAUCAUGAGAUGGAGUGUGAUGCGCAAGAACCAGGUCCCUAGGUCUAAGGUCAAGGUCACACUUAGAGGUCAAAGGAUACAAUAAUGACAACUUUGUCCGGAGUAUUUCUUCUUCAUGCAUGGAGGGAUUUUGAUGUAACUUGGCACAAAUGUUCACCACCAUGAGAAUGAGUGUCAUGCGGAAGAACCAGUUCCCUAGGUCUAAGAUAAAGGCCACAUUUAGAGGUCAAAAGUCAGAUACAAGAAUGACUUUGUCUGGAGCAUUUCUUUUUGAUGCAUAGAGGGAUUUUGAUGUAACUUGGCACAAUUGUUCAUCAUCAUGCGACGGAGGGUCAUGCAUAAGAUCCUAGAAUUACUUCCCUUUGUUGUUACUAUAAAUAGCUUACAUUUGUAACUUUUUAUUACUGGUCAUAGGGAAAAAUCAAGACCACUUUUCUGUAGUACAACAUGCAUGUUACAUCCAAUUUUCAGGUGUAUUUUGACCUAUCUCUGGUGGUGCGGUUUUUUGUG